rnacentral:lncRNA from 1 species
GGGGGGCCUGGCAGAAUGAGUGAGGUUCCUGACCAAGCUGGUGCUUCUGCGUGUGUUCCUGCAUGACUUGGUGUGUCCCCUUCUCUUGGAUCUACUGCAGUUGACAGCAGAUAACUGAAAGCUCGGAAAGCGAAACCGUGGAUAAGCAGGGGAACUGUGGCAUCCCAUUUAAAAUUGCUUCUGAAGAGAAGCAUGAGGUUACAUCUGUAAUCUCCCUGCAGCAGAGUCAACUGCAUAAGAAACCAAAAGACACACCUGCUCCAUGCCAGCUUCGAUAAUUUCUUUGUACCUUCGGCGAAAGAAGCCCAUCUGAAAGGCAGAAAGAAAGAGGAGAAGCUGAGUUAGAAGUGCUGAAGAAUCAGCCAUUGUGACCCCAAGGCAGUCUGUCCCUGGGUAGGUGUGACCUGCACUCACAGGGCUGGGGAGGCUUGGAGGACCCCUCGGAUUAGAGAAAACACUGGCAAGAAAAACAUCCGGUGGAGACAUUUUUCAAAAUGCAUGGACUUCCUGCGGGUGAUAUUAGGCUUCUUCACUGUGAGCCAAACAUCCAGGGAAGCAUCACAGCCACCCUGAUGGUCAUAAGCUCCCCUGAAGAAGGGAAGGCAGGUGGACCUGAGGAGCUGUCUGUUGCCACCAUCUUUCUACUUCCCUAAAGGGGGCUUAUUGGCCAAGCCAAAGACGAGAACUGUCAAGAGAGCCAGCAGGUAUCUUCACCCACGUUGCCAAGGAGAUCCUGAGCAUUCACUGUGAGGGGAAGUCGAUAAGGUGGUGCAGUUUGAAUGACUGGGAAAGAGCAGAAGCUUUCUUAGAACAACUGGCAAGAGUCUUGUGUUCUGAGCUUCAAUCCUCAAGGCCAGUUUUGUAAACAGAUAUUGAGUUCCUGGUGAUUUCAGCCCUGGAGGUUUCUUCCCAGCAUAAGACCACAUUCAUCAGAAUGCCACGUUCUGACGCCCCCACACAUAUACUUUUCUCUCCUGAAACCUCUUCACCUUCUCCCCUCUGCAAGAGAUGUGGAAAAGGUGCUUGGCCAGAAUUUUCUGGAUAAUUAAGAAAAAGUCAUAGACAUCAUCCCCACAGCACACCCACAGAAGGCCAGAAAAACGGACCAAGACUGAAUGGAAAUCUAAGAAGCUACUGCUUGAAAUGUCAUUCUUUUGCGAUAAAGGUGUGGUUGGCCAAGAAAACAUGACCAGAUGUGGCUGGUCACAUGCCAUGAAGGAGAAUGUAAUCAUGAAACUGUGGAAGG